rnacentral:rRNA from 1 species
CCUACGGGUGGCAGCAGUGGGGAAUAUUGCGCAAUGGGCGAAAGCCUGACGCAGCGACGCCGCGUGAGGGAUGAAGGUCUUCGGAUCGUAAACCUCUGUCAGCAGGGAAGAACGGUCACUGUGCUAAUCAGCAGUGAAUUGACGGUACCUGCAAAGGAAGCACCGGCUAACUUCGUGCCAGCAGCCGCGGUAAUACGGGGGGUGCGAGCGUUAGUCGGAAUUACUGGGCGUAAAGCGCUCGUAGGCGGUAUGUCAAGUCAAGGGUGAAAUCCCCGCGCUCAACGUGGGAACUGCCUUUGAAACUGGCAACCUGGAGUGUACGAGAGGAUGGUGGAAUUCCAGGUGUAGGAGUGAAAUCCGUAGAUAUCUGGAGGAACAUCGGUGGCGAAGGCGACUGUCUGGCACAUAACUGACGCUGAGGAGCGAAAGCGUGGGUAGCAAACAGGAUUAGAUACCCCAGUAGUC